AGAUAUCCUUGCUCCUUUAAGACAUCGGGUGCCCUGCAUAUGCACUUCAAGCAAAGAAAGGUGCUGCAAGAGAGAGACAGCGGGCACGAAUGAGUGUUCUACUUCAGAGUCAAAUCCUCAUUCAACAGACACCUGGUUGUCAUCAGAUGUCUCAUCGACCAUCUGGGAGAAGAUGCCAGUGUGUUGUUCAAGGACUUUGAGGAUGCUGCUGUUAGAUCUGCCAAUGUUGAAGUGGAGUUGGCAGGGGAGGUCAUGAAAAUUUACAUGCUGCAAAACAAAGAUGGGGGUCAGUCGAUGUUGGUAUUGUGAUUGAAGGCAUCAUUGUCUUGGAGAUCUUAGCAGAGCCUGCUGCUAUCUGUUGGGAUUGACCGACGCAUUUGAUCUGCGCUACUCAAAUUCUGGAAACCUUUCCAAUAAUGUUCAAGGACUCAAGAAUUAACUGAGUAUGUACACAGUUGCUGGCUACUGUUCAGAGAAAUUUUCAUUGGUAAAUCUAACGUUGUUGUCUUAAUGUUAAGAUAAGUUAAGUUUCCUUUGU